ACCUGUGCAGACAGCUCAUAGGGCAACCGGCGAUUGCCACCAACCUUGAGGACUUGGGUUCGAUUCCCUGGGAACCACGUGGUAGGAGAGAACUGACCUCCAUGCUUAAGUUUGUCCACACAAAAUAAAUUUUAAGAUGUAACGACAACAACCAAAUGGCUUUAUUUGAGAAGAUGAACAAGAGGCUACCUGGAAAUUAUCAAUGACUGCACGUGCCCAGCUCUUCUGGACCCUCUGAUGUUCUGUCACAUGGGAGCAAAUGGAGAGCUGGGACAUCCUUUGACCUCAGCCCUCAAAGGAUAAUUAACUUCUUGCUCAAUCCCUCAGCAUUUGACCAAAAUACCAAGAUAAAAAUGUAGGCCCGUGUUAGUACAAAAGGUCCUGCAUUCAACUGUCCUCCUUAUAUUGCCCAAGAAGUCUUGUGGAAUUCCAAGAAGAAUUCAAGGGGCCAGACCUGGAAUAUGCAUCAAUGAGAAUAAGACACUGACGAAGCUAACGACACUAACGGGGAAUGAGGAUAAUCGACUCCUGUCCUUUGUUUUACUCUUUAACCUAGUAAUAAAUCCCUUUAAAGGCC
rnacentral:lncRNA from 1 species